UACGAAGGGGGCUAGCGUUGCUCGGAAUCACUGGGCGUAAAGCGCGCGUAGGCGGAUCUUUAAGUCAGGGGUGAAAUCCCGGGGCUCAACCCCGGAACUGCCUUUGAUACUGGGGAUCUUGAGUUCGAGAGAGGUCGGUGGAACUGCGAGUGUAGAGGUGAAAUUCGUAGAUAUUCGCAAGAACACCAGUGGCGAAGGCGGCCGACUGGCUCGACACUGACGCUGAGGCGCGAAAGCGUGGGGAGCAAACAGG
rnacentral:rRNA from 1 species